GAUGAACGCUGGCGGCGUGCCUAAUACAUGCAAGUCGAGCGAACGGACGAGAAGCUUGCUCCUCUGAUGUUAGCGGCGGAAGGGUGAGUAACAAGUGGAUAACCUACCUAUAAGAAUGGGAUAACUUCGGGAAAUCGGAGCUCAUACCGGAUAAUAUUUUGAACCGCAUGGUUCAAAAGUGAAAGACGGUCUUGCUGUCACUUAUAGAUGGAUCCGCGCUGCAUUAGCUAGUUGGUAAGGUAACGGCUUACCAAGGCAACGAUGCAUAGCCGACCUGAGAGGGUGAUCGGCCACACUGGAACUGAGACACGGUCCAGACUCCUACGGGAGGCAGCAGUAGGGAAUCUUCCGCAAUGGGCGAAAGCCUGACGGAGCAACGCCGCGUGAAUGAUGAAGGUCUUCGGAUCGUAAAACUCUGUUAUUAGGAAAGAACAUAUUUGUAAGUAACUGUGCGCAUCUUGACGGUACCGAAUCAAAAAGCCACGGCUAACUACGUG
rnacentral:rRNA from 1 species